CAUAAAAAUGUUUUGAAAUGACGAUUUCUGUCUCAUGCGAAAAAUUACAUCUGUUACAGUCAUGAAACUUACUCAUCUAUGCAAGACAAAAAUAUUUACAUAUUUUCUACUUAUUGAUGUAUACAGUUUCGACUAUUAUUAAAUAGAUAUGGUUUCAUUGUUCUUAUUUGACAAUGAAACGAUUAAAUCUUGCAACUUGCUUCGUUAAACCCCUUGGCCCCUUUUAUCUGUGAGAAGUUAACGAGGAUAAAUGUAUUUAGGGAAAUACUUGCAGAGAUAUGAUGACAGAUUGCCAAGAAGGUAAAAAAACGAGCAUUUUUGACACCUGCUUCUCUUUGCUCUCAAUCAAGGUUCCAAAGCUGCCAAAAACAGCUUGAGAAAUUUGUGUUCUGUGUG